AGCAGCCGCGGUAAUUCCAGCUCCAAUAGCGUAUAUUAAAGUUGUUGCAGUUAAAAAGCUCGUAGUUGAAUUUCGGGAUCGACGGGUCGGUCGCGCCUCUGGUGUGUACUGGCCCUGUCGGUUUCUCCCUUCUGACGAACCACGAUGUCAUUAAUUUGGUGUCGUGGGAAAUCAGGACUGUUACUUUGAAAAAAUUAGAGUGUUUAAAGCAGGCAUUCGCUUGAAUACAUUAGCAUGGAAUAAUGAAAUAGGACGUUUGAUCUUAUUUUGUUGGUUUCUAAGAUCGACGUAAUGAUUAAUAGGGAUAGUUGGGGGCAUUAGUAUUCAAUUGUCAGAGGUGAAAUUCUUGGAUUUAUUGAAGACUAACUACUGCGAAAAGCAUUUGCCAAGGAUGUUUUCAUUAAUCAAGAACGAAAGUUAGGGGAUCGAAGACGAUCAGGUACCGUCGUAGUCUUAACCAUAAACUAUGCCGACUAGGGAUCGGAUGAUGUUAAUUUUUAAUGACUCAUUCGGCGCCUUA
rnacentral:rRNA from 1 species